AAGAAAAAAGUGCCCUUGCACUUUUUCUGUCUGACUGUGGCAGCCAAGAUUGCAUGGGGAA
rnacentral:snoRNA from 1 species